CUUCUCUGUAACAAAGACACGGAUGACAAAUGCUACCGUGCUCAUUAGCCAAGACAAGCUGAAGAGAAUGAAGCGCUUCCCAUCAAAUUUAGCUGAUGCUACAAAGAAAAGCAACUACAUCAGACAUGAAGAGGAAUUACUUCGCUGCAUGGGUUACAGGAUUACAGGUCAUGUUAUAUAUAUGCAAAACCUCAUGUUUGUUUUUGUCCCAUAUUGGCAUUAAUACCUACAAUAUUUACAUACAAUUUAUGUUUUGAUCCUUACACCAUGUUGAUCAAAAAUGCUGCUUAAAACACUGGGUUUAUUAAUAGGCUAGAAUGCACCUCUGUUCUUGUAAUUUCAGGUAGAUGCCACUAGAGGACUAUAAAGCUCAUGGAUUAUUGCACACAUCUAUAAAACAUUUCGAUAAUUUUAUGUUUUUAUGUAUCUGCCUACUGUGGGAAAUGUCACAGAGAGCCCACUCUCUCUCAAAAACACAGAUUUUGGCCGGUUAUUGCAAGCACAUGUUUGUUUGUUUCUUUGUUUUUUUUAAUUUCUCAGUGUCCCCUGGCAGAAUAAUUACAAGAGUAGUAAUUACAGUCACAAGUUGCAAACCCCCGAAGGAACUGCAGGCAAUUAAAGGUAGGAGGAUGAAGAUAAUUACAAGCUUACUAAAUUCAGUCGAAUCCUCAGAUCCCAAAUCUUACCUGCCCUCCUCACCCUGGGCACCGUGUCUGAGGAGCGUGUGAGGACAUGAUCUGUUCCACCACAAGUGAAGAAUCACAGUCCUUAAACGACGAUUAAAUCACCCACAGAUGCGUGAACACUGUGAUGAAACCAAAUUCUUACUGUGA